AGUGAACGCUGGCGGCAGGCCUAACACAUGCAAGUCGAGCGGCAGCGCGUCCGACCACCCUCGGGUGGUCGGAUGGCGGCGAGCGGCGGACGGGUGAGGAAUGCAUCGGAAUCUGCCUCGUUGUGGGGGAUAACGUAGGGAAACUUACGCUAAUACCGCAUACGACCUACGGGUGAAAGUGGGGGACCUUCGGGCCGUCACGCGAUGAGAUGAGCCGAUGCCGGAUUAGCUAGUUGGCGGGGUAAAGGCCCGACCAAGGCGACGAUCCGUAGCUGGUCUGAGAGGAUGAUCAGCCACACUGGAACUGAGACACGGUCCAGACUCCUACGGGAGGCAGCAGUGGGGAAUCUUGCGCAAUGGGCGAAAGCCUGACGCAGCGACGCCGCGUGGGUGAUGAAGGCCUUCGGGUCGUAAAGACUCUGUGGGGAGAGACGAAUAAGACGUGGC
rnacentral:rRNA from 1 species